rnacentral:rRNA from 1 species
GACGAACGCUGGCGGCGUGCCUAAUACAUGCCAGUCGAACGCACAGUUUAUACCGUAGCUUGCUACACCAUAGACUGUGAGUUGCGAACGGGUGAGUAACGCGUAGGUAACCUGCCUGGUAGCGGGGGAUAACUAUUGGAAACGAUAGCUAAUACCGCAUAAUAUUAAUUAUUGCAUGAUAAUUAAUUGAAAGGUGCAAUUGCACCACUACCAGAUGGACCUGCGUUGUAUUAGCUAGUAGGUGAGGUAACGGCUCACCUAGGCGACGAUACAUAGCCGACCUGAGAGGGUGAUCGGCCACACUGGGACUGAGACACGGCCCAGGCUCCUACGGGAGGCAGCAGGAGGGAAUCUUCGGCAAUGGACGAAAGUCUGACCGAGCAACGCCGCGUGAGUGAAGAAGGGUUUCGGAUCGUAAAGCUCUGUUGUAAGAGAAGAACGGGUGUGAGAGUGGAAAGUUCACACUGUGACGGUAUCUUACCAGAAAGGGACGGCUAACUACGUG